CAGCUGUAAAAUAAGGGAAAAUUCCCAUAUUCUUCACCUCCUGCCCCAAAAAGCCAUGCAGAAGAAGCCAGAAAAUGAUAUUAUACCAAAUACCUAUUCCUGCUUUUAUGGGUUUAUCUCCACAUUCUGGGAAAUUACCUAAUCAGAUUUCAUAUUUAAUAUAAAAAAUAGUAGGACAGAUGAUAUCAUAUCCUCGAAGCUAACUAAAUUUUGUAUUGUGAGUCUUGCUUAAUCAAAGUUUCAUUUCCAUUUGUCCAGGGCAUAUUUUGUCACUUUUUUUUUACUGGCAAUUUUCUGUCGAUCUCAUAGAUGGAUCCAACCCAGAGGUCUCUGAAGAACAGAGGACUCAGGUUCUCACCCAGUGCUGACGGUGGGCUUGGAGCUCUGGGCAGGUUUAACGUGACCUCACAAGGGGCUGCACAGGCAGACUGCUGAAGCCAGAAUGAACCCACCAUUCCCUGGGAGGAAUCCCCAGGGUCCCAGCAGGAUGCAUUAACAGCACAUCUCUCCAGUGAGCCGUGAUGGGAAGAGCACGGAGCAAAAAAAAGAGAACCGAAGAACCGAUCUCUCGAAGGAUCCUGGCUGGCAGCAGUAUCACCAUCUGACUGAAGAGAACUCAGCCACACGCAUAAUCCUCGGGAAAAUUCAUCUCCACCCUCCCGCAGACCCCGGUGGCACUAGAACAGAAUUGUGGGCUUUGUCCCUUGUCACUGCAAUUCCGUGUGUGCCCCAGAAUCAGCUGGGCUGAACCAGGAUUCCUGGGGUGAGGACAGGAGGGGCCAGAGGUUCAUCCUGAGAACACCCCGAGGCUGAGCUGAGCAAACGAGUCAGGCAGAAGAAUUCCACCGGUGUUGGCAAAUUCUUCUCUCUCACUGGACUUGAUGGCAGCCAGUCCCCUGUGAAUCCCUGACCUUCACACUCCACAGGCUGCCUGGGAUGGCUCACAGCAACCACAGGAGAUUUUCUCCUGUUCCUGACUGUCAGAGCACACAGCGGUUCUGGUGUGAAUGUUGUUGCAUCUGCUUUGGACAAGUCCCGUCAGCAGCACCUCUGCAGCUUCCCAAAGCUGUGCCAGGACAUGCUUCGGGGUGCAAAUGAGGGUAGGGAAGAAUUUGCACUCAGAGAAUCACAGAAUCCCAAAUGGUUUGGGCUGGAAGGACCAUAAAGCUCACCCAGUGCCACUGCUGCCACGGCCAGGGACACCUUCCACUGUCCCAGGUUGCUCCAAGCCCCGUCCAGUUCCACUGACUGCUCCAGAUGGGGUUUGAAAUUAGUUGGGUGUCUGAUCCAACCAUUGGGCAGCAGUUCGUGGAGACAGACGGACAUCCCUGGACAGCAGGACAACCUCCCAGUCAAGUCCUGUCGCAGGGUGAGAGGAAUUGUUGUGCCAGCUGGGCAGGGGGCUGCAUGACAACACUGACAGCCCAACUGCCAUAGAAUGCUCCCUGAAAUACCCUCCUUGCCUCUUACACUCUGGUCUUGUGCAUGAACCAACCCAUGGGUGGAAGGGCACCUGUGAUAACUUCCCUUCUUUCUGCCUUUUGACUCCCAAACACUCCUCUCUCAUUUUUCCCUUUUAGCCCUUCUGUCCCUCACCCUUUUCUCUCUCCACCUUCCCUCUGAUUGCUGAGCAGCUUUUUGACUUUUCCAUCAAUAAGUCUAAAGAGCGUUUGAACUGCUCUGGUCCCCCUUCUCUCCUCCCUCCAGUUCCAAAUCAGGCAAGCUCAUCGAUCAGAGGAGCUCAGGAAAUAUCUGGUGUUUUGUUGUCAGGCUGAUAAUAACAUUGCAGUUGUGAAUGGGCUGCUGCAGGCCUGAUCAUGGACACCUGCAGGGUUUGUUUAAUUGCAUUUAAUGACAAAUCCUAUACAGAGGAGCAUUGCCAGAGAGAUUUAUUAUCCGCCAAAGAGGCAAAGCACAACAGCUCAAAAUAUAAUUUGCACUGAGCAUUUUU